rnacentral:lncRNA from 9 species
CCUUUCUCAAUUUUUUCCUUGGUCUCUUAUGCCUCUGUAGUUGUGCCCAAACUUAUCCUUUUCCCUGAAAACCUUACCUUCUCUGAACUUGUCUGGCUGACAAGGUCUUAGAUCAAAAUCUUUUCUUCUUCUUUUUUUUUUCUUCAUAUUUGACCAUCUCUCGUGGACCAUUUGCAAUUUAUGCCACAGAGGCAAUGCCAAAUCCUUAACCCACUGUGCUGAGUCGGGGAUGGAUCCUGCAUCACAGCGCUACAGAGACACCACUGAUACUGUUACGGCACAGCAGGAACUCCUAAAAGCUGUUCUAAACAGGGAAUGUCUGGUAAGGUUGGGGUUGCUAGAAGUAGACCCUGAGAUACAAAUUUGCAUGAAAGCGAUUUAUAGAGGAAUGCUUCCAGAAGAUACCUAUCACAGAAUGAUGGAAAUGACAGGGGAAGGAGCCAAGCAAGGUGUGAUUUCGGUGAGUAGUGAUACUACAGGGGAACCCAGAAUCUAAGUCAUAUCCCAGUAUUUGUUCCAACUUAUGUCAAAAAAGUGCACACUCUAGUGCCAAUCAGUCCAUGGUUAAGGGCGUCCCAUAGAUGAAGGGUGAACAUAAACUCCAGACCCUUCCAGGUCUUCCUCUGUGCAAACAAAAUGACUCCACUUGCUUAGGGUUAGUUCUCCAAAGAGGCCUACAGAUACUUGUUGUUAGAAACAAGGGUACAGAAUGCAAAGAAGGGAAAUCCAGAAAUGAUUAAGGGGAUUCCAGUGUCCUUAUAAGCAGAAUACAGUGGUGUACAAAAUAAAUGUGGUAUCUGACCUCAUAGGUUUUAUACUCUUAACAGGAAAUAUAGAACAAUAAAUAGCCAUUACGGUUCUAUGAGUGAUAUUAUAGAGGAAGGUCAUGGUUAUGGGAGCACAAAGAAAGGAAAACUGGGAAAGGACCAAAGGAAGUGAUGUCUCUGCUUGAUGAGUAGGAAGGGGUGGGGAGCUCUUCCAGGAAGUGGGUCUACAUAUGUGUGGUUCAGAGCCAAGAGACUGUGGAAUAUUUGAGGGACUUAAAUAAAUCCAGUCUUGGCUGGAUGUACAGUAGAUGGUGGGAAAGUAGAGAUGUUAAGAAAUUGUGCUGAGGCAGCCAGCAGGUUUCUGACUUGAUGGAUAAUGCUCACAGGCAUUGGAUUAGAAUUAGAAGAGUUAUUGCAAGUUAUAUGCUCAGUGUCUGGUAGUCUAUAAAUAGUAACUAAGGUGAGAAAUCAUAGUUCAUGGUAGGAGUGGUAAUUAUUAGAAAUAUUACUACUACUACCACUACUACUACCACUAUUGCUACUACUACCUGAAAAUAUUAUUACUACCUUACAACUAUUACUGUUAACUUGGGGCAAAAAUAAAGGCCUGGCUAUUUUAGACUAUUUAUUUACUUGUUUAUUGUCUGUUUCUCUGGCCAGUCUGUAAAUUAUACAAGGGUAGGAACUGUAUUUAAUACAAAAAUUUAGCACUAUAUAUUUGUCAAGUAAAUAAACAAAAGAUUUUGUGCAUGUGCUACAUGUUGACACUGUCUAAAACACCAUGAGGGGUCCAAGGAAGAACAAAACAUAGUCUCCACUUUCAGGAGAACAUUUAUUUACUUACUCAGUGGUUAUUCAUUGAACAUAUUUAGUAGCAUGUACUAGACCUUUGCUAGGUUCUAGGAAUGCAAUUAUAAGCAAGUCACAGGAACAUCAGAUUCCUGCCAUCAUUAAAAUUAUCAUUUAGCAUCAUUUCUCUCAAUGCAUUUCUGUAUACCAACAAUGAAAGAUCA